rnacentral:misc_RNA from 1 species
AACUUUUAACAACGGAUCUCUUGGCUCUCGCAUCGAUGAAGAACGCAGUGAAAUGCGAUAAGUAAUGUGAAUUGCAGAAUUCAGUGAAUCAUCGAAUCUUUGAACGCACCUUGCACCCUUUGGCAUUCCGAAGGGUAUGCUCGUUUGAGUGUCAUUGUACUCUCACACUCCCAAUCCCUUUGGAUUGGGAGCGGUGGACUUGGGUGUUGCCGCUUGACUGAGGCUCACCUGAAAUAUGUUAGUGCAUCUCUUGAUUGGACAUAGUACGGCGUGAUAAGUGUCUUCGCCGGCUCCUCGCAAAGAGGGUGGCCGAUCGGGAGCUCUGUUGCUUCAAACUGUCUUCGGACAAUCUUCUGACAACUUGACCUCAAAUCGAGUAGGACUACCCGCUGAACUUAAGCAUAUCAAUAAGCGGAGGCU